GGGGUCCGUUUUGGUGACUUUUGUGUUAGCAUCCUAACACAGGAUUACUUAUUAUUAUUAUUCUUAUUCUUCUCUUUCUGACCCCUUAAACUGUCCUACCAUUUUUUGGGAAAGCAGUAGAGGAUGGAAACUUUAUAUUUUUUCUGGGUAUGGGUCUGCAUCAUGGGGGUUGCAGAACCCAAUGUCCGUGAUACCAGGGUGUCAUCUUGGCAUAAUUAGGGGGGCUCAAAGAUGGGUGGGGUCAAUUUUUUUUUACAUUUCUUAAAUUUUCUACUGUAUGUAGAGUAGAUGGAAUACUGAUUACUUCUAUGAAUAUUAAGAGACACAUGUCUGCUUCAACAUGGAACUUUUUUUAUUUCAGUAGGGGGUCUCCUGGCAUAAUUUUAGGGGGUGAAUUUUCAUGGAACAUUCCAGAACAUCAAAGUUAAAUUUAUUCUAGACUCAUUUAAUGGUAUAUGAUGGUAUAUAAUUAUGGAGAGAACAAUUUGCAGCAGCACUUUGUCUUUUGAAUAUUCAAAAUGGCCGCCGUUACCAUGGAAACAGCAAAAAUAUGAAAAACUUCAAAAUGCUCCAAAUUUAAUGAAACUUAUAACUAAUGUUGACUAACUUGUGCAGAAUUGACUUUUGAGUUUGGAAUUUUCAAAAUGGCCGACGUUACCAUGGAAACAGCAAAAAUAUUAAAAAAAAUCAAAAUGCUUCAAAUUUAAUGAAACUUAUAACAAAUGUUGCCUAACUUGUGUAGACUUUAAUUUUGAGUUUGAAAUUUUCAAAAUGGCCGCCGUUGCCAUGGAAACAGCAAAAAUGUAAAAAAAAAAAUAAUUCUUCAUAUUGAAUUAAACUUUACACACACAUUAUUUGGCAUCAAUGAUACCGCAGAACAAUGAUGUGGGGUCCGUUUUGGUGACUUUUGUGUUAGCAUCCUAACACAGGAUUACUUGUUUCUUUUU
rnacentral:lncRNA from 1 species